rnacentral:rRNA from 1 species
GACAGAGGGGGCAAGCGUUGCUCGGAAUUACUGGGCGUAAAGGGCGCGUAGGCGGGAUGGCAAGUCGGUCGUGAAAUCCCUCGGCUCAACUGAGGAUCGUCGAUCGAUACUGCCGUUCUUGAGGAUUGCAGAGGAGACUGGAAUUCCCGGUGUAGCGGUGAAAUGUGUAGAGAUCGGGAGGAACACCGGUGGCGAAGGCGGGUCUCUGGGCAAUUCCUGACGCUGAGGCGCGAAAGCGUGGGGAGCGAUCCGG